rnacentral:tRNA from 1 species
GGGGAUGUAGCUCAGCUGGGAGAGCACCAGGUUCGCAAUCUGGGGGUCGAGGGUUCAAACCCCUUCAUCUCCACCA